GACCCCUGUGAGAGGGCUGUGGACCCUGGACCCUGUGAUGGUUACUUUCCACGGUGGUACUUCAACAGCCAGACUGGCCAGUGUGAGGAAUUCAUCUAUGGGGGAUGUGAUGGUAACGGCAACAACUUUGAAACCGCUGAGGAAUGUCAGGAUACUUGUGGCCCAUGCCCCCCUGGAGUCGACUUGGUGAACUGCACUGAGGACCCCUGCAUGUACGCCGAAUGCGCGGCCCACCCUACCGCGAUGUGCAAGGCAAACUACUGCGGAGGUUGCAACGCCGUUUUCUACGACGACCAAGGCAACAAAGUAGACUGUAUGGCCAUGGACAUGUAUGGUUAAUCAUGCGUGAGCCAUGUGCGACACAAUCUAAG